rnacentral:lncRNA from 1 species
AAGCAGGAACAUAUUCCCCAAAGCCCUAGGCCCCACACACCUGCUCUGGACACCAAAAAUUGUAUCUUGUGUCCCUCAGCUAUUCCGUGGAUGCCUCGGAGGUCACUGACCUGCAUGUUGUCAGUUACGAAGUGGAGCAAGACCUGAUUCCACUGAUUAUCUCCAACUGCCAGUAUCAAGUGGAGCAAGGUGGGGAGACAUUGCAGGAAUUUGACCUAGAGAAGAUCCAGCGGCAGAUUAGCAGCCGCUUCCUCCAGGGCAAGCCCCGGCUGACCCUCAAGGGGAUACCCACGCUGGUAUACAGACAUGACUGGAACUUUGAACAUCUCUUUGUGGACAUCAAGAACAAAAUGGCACAGAGCCCCCUUCCCCACUCAGCAAUGAGUGCCAUCAGUGGAGAGCUUCAGUCCUACAGCAGUGCCUGUGAAGCCCUCUCUGUCAUAGAGGUCACUCUGGGCUUUCUAGGCACAGUUGGUGGGGAUCCAAAUAUGCACCUGAAUGUGUAUGUCCAAGAAAUCCUGCGAAUGGACGACCAAACAACUCCAGUUUUAAAGAUAUGAGCUGCUGCAGGAGUGGGAAACUCUCAGAUGUUUGCAAG